UUAUUAUUAUUAUUAUUCCGCGCUCAAAAUUUAAUCGACUACUCCUCCUAGGGCUUUUGACGUAGAACCACGAAAUUUUGCAGUAUCGUAGGACCUAUACCCGAAUAGGUUGCUUGUGCUUUUUUAAGCGAUACAUCGUACGGUUUUCGUAAAAACUUCGUAAACGUGCGCUUUUUUUUCCCAUAGGAAAUGAAUAGGGGACAACUUUGAACGUCUGUGUAGGUAACAAUUUUUGACAUACAAAGACAAAAAUCGGACGGUCUAUAGAACUUACCGCUUUCUUUCAGAAAUUUUUAACGUUUCGACGAUACGUCGUACGGUUUUCGUACAAAUGUCGUACGAAGUUUUCCCAUUGAAAUGAAUGGGGGGCCCAGAGUUCUAACUCGCACACGAGCAGCUCUGCGCACGGAACCCCUUCUCUCCCCUGCUCCUCCAGUACUGUGAGUGUAUGGAGGAGCUGCUGUAUGGAGCAGCUAUCAGUCAAAAGUUUGGACACCCCGGCACCCCAGCCAGGGUUUAGCAACCACCUAUUAACUGCUUAGCAACCACCUGGAAAACAUUAGCAACUGCCUAGCAACCACUUAGCAACACCUUAGCAACCACCUGGAAAACGUUAGCAACUGCCAAGCAAACACUUAGCAACCACUUUAGAAAUGAUAGCAACUGCCUAGCAACCACUUAGAAACCACUUUAGAAAUGAUAGCAACUGCCUAGCAACCACUUAGCAACCACAUGGAAAACGUUAGCAACUGCCUAGCAACCACGUAGCAACCACUUUAGAAA